UUGAUUGGGCAUUACAGUGAUAUUCUAAAGUAUCUCUAAAGCAAUAUUUAGAAUAUUUAAUAAGAUGUGAGAACUAAAAAGUAAAAAAAUGAAUGGCCCACAGGCUUCAAUUUAUAAUUUAUUUCUUAUUAGAAUAUAUGUUCUGUAAGGUGAUAACAACCACAGAUAAAAUGGAAUAUCAGAACCAAAACCCUGACAUAGUAGAUAAUACCAAAAAGAAACAUUUACAGUAGUUACUGUUUGUUACUAUUAAUACCUUCUAUGUGCUAAUCACUGUGCUUCAAAUAUAUCACAAAUUUUAAAGGCAGAUUUUAAAAUCAGCUUUAAUUUCUUUUUUUGAUGAUAAACGCAUUCUAUUAGAGAAAAUUUGAAAAGUUUAGAAGAGUAUAAUAAACACUGGGAACUCGAUGUAACCAUUUAUUAGUUCAUAAAAAUCUAUUGCGUACUUACUAUGUGUUUGACACUAUUCUGGAUAUUAGGGAUAGUGCAAUGAGUAAAACAGACAAAAUCCCUGCUCAGAUGAAGCUUAAAAUCUAGUGGGGAAAACAGACAACAAACCAUACACUAAGCAAUAUACAAUGUGACUUCAGGCCCUGAAGUACUUCAAGAAAAGCUAAGAAAAAGAGAAGUAAUGGUUCUUCCACUGACCCUAGGGAACUUUAAAAAAACCCUGAUGGCUUGGAAUCCAUUCCCAGAGAUUCUCUUUUAUUGAAUAUUGGGCAAGGCCAGGCUGCCUUCAUUUUUGAAUAGCCCCCAGGUAAUACUAAUGAGCAGAGAGUGGUAAGAAGUGCUACGUGUAUUAGACGGAGUGCUCAGGGAAGCCCUCUCUAAGGAAGGGAGAUUUGAGCAGAGUCCUGUCGAGGUGCACAUAUCAGGGGAACAAGUGUUCUGGGCGGGGAAUGGUAGGUACAAUACCCUGGUGGUGAGGAAUGCAGAGCAUAGUCUGGCUGGAGGCCAGGGAGCAAAGGGAAAGAGGUAGGAAAUGCUGCGGAGGGACUUAGGGGUCAUGGUAAAAAUCUGGGACUUAUUUCUAAGGGUGAUGGAAAUCAUUUCUUUGGGUUCGAGCAGGAGAAUGACACUGUUGGCAUUUAGAGAUGAUAGAAAUGUUUGUAUAAUGUAUCUACAUACAACUUUGAGAAAAUGCACUUUAUAUAAUUCUGUAUCUGGCAUUUUUCACUUCUAACAGGAAUAAUUCCUAUGACUUAUAUAUGUAAUAUAUAUCACUUCAUCAUUACCUUAUAUGGAAGAGAAUGAAUUGUGCCAUAUGCUUUCGUGGUAUAAGUGAGAUAAAUAAAUAAAACCUUCCCAUGUACUCUUCCUCCACAUUUUGGAGUAUUUUUUUAGGCAGUGGUUCCCCAUUUAGGAGCAAUAUUGUACCCUGUCCCAAGCCCCACCCCUCCACCUAUGAGAGAUUUGGCAAUAUCUGGAGACAGUUUUGAUUGUCAUGAGCAGGUGGGGUGGGAAAUUGCUACUGGUGUCUAAUGGGUAGAGGCAAAGGAUCCUGCUAAACAUUUUGUAAUGCACAGGCAGCUCUGAUGACAAAGAAUUAUCUAGCCCCAAAUGGCAAUAAAGCUGCAGAUGAAGACCUCUGCCUUAGUGUAAAAUAAUAGAAAUGUAACAAUUCGAUCCGUGGUUCUCAAACUUUACCCUUCAUGAAGAUAAUUUGGAAGGUAUUAAAAGGCAGGUUGCUGGGCUCCACCUCCAGAUUUCUGAUUCAGCAAGUCUGGGGAGAGGCUUGAUAAACAGCAUUCCUGUCAAGUUCCCAAGUGGUAACAGUACUGCUGGUCUGGUUGGGAACCACAUCUUGAGAACCAGCACCAGAUUAUCAAGUUAUGGCUCUUUUUUCCUUAAAACAUAACAUGUGGGAGGGCCUAUUAGUCCUGUUAGCAGUAUUAUAAUUUGGUAUUAUUCUUUUUAAAAAUAACUGCCAUACAUGAAAAAUAGUCUGUCAUUCUUUGAACUUAGGAUUCUUUGAAUUUAGGAAAUGGGGAAGAAGUUAAUAAAGCAAACAAGCAGUCGUGUGUUUCCUCUCCUGUGAAUAUCUCCUGCCCUCUUUCCUAUUUAGAGUGUAUACUUUUAUGUUUGUUUGUUUAACCCAUUUUAUUUUGUACAGCAAAACUAAUACAUGGUCUUUUGGGAAAAAAAAAGUACUAAUCAGAACUAUUGAAAAGUAAAAAGUAAAAACCUCCCCUGUUUCCUAGUCAAAUUUCUUCAUAACUAUAAUUAACAGAUGGGUGUUCCUUCUGGAUGUUUUUCUACUCAUCUAUCCAUCUACCUAUUUUAUAUAUAUUUAUAUAUAUAUACACACACACUUGUAUAUAAAUAAUUUUUUUCCUUUUUAGAAAAGAUGAAAUAAAAAAUACAUAAUGUGCUAUAAUUUGCUUUUCCCCCCUUAACUAUAUAUCACGGGCAUGUUUCCAAGUCAGUACAUAUAAAAAUACCUCAUUCUUUUAAAAAAGUUGUUAUAUUUCAUAGUAUGGAAAUACCUUAAUUUAUCUAACCAUUUCUCUGCUGGUUGGUUUUUAGGUUGCUUCUUCUAAUUCUUUGCUAUUACAGACAAUGCUACAGUGAAAUCCUUGCAUAUGUAGAUUUCUAAGUUUCUUUAUGUCUUAAGAGUAACUUUUCAUUACUUUUGUGGCACAUACAUUCUCCCAAUUCUUGUGUUUCUUAAUUUUAUUUACUUAAGUUCUUAUGUAGUCAUAUCUAGUACUAUUUCUUUUGGAUUUUAUCUUUGUUUUUAUUAUUAUAAAAUCCAACCAUUUAAAGAGAUCAGAUAACUAUUAUCAAAGUCUUGUUUUUAAAAAUGAUUUUAGAUUUUAAAAGCAUAUCAUCUAAUUCAUUGUAAAUAUUUUUGUUGUGUGAAAUUUGAUGGUACUCUGAAUUUACUUUUUUUCUGGAAACCAGCUGAUUUUCCCUAUGACAUUUGUUGAAUAAACCACCACUCUCCAUUGAUUUGUGGUACUGCCUUUUUUGUGCAGAUUGCCUGCAGUCAGCCACACACCCUGGUAUACGGUACUGUGCUGAUAAUCUCUAUGUAUGUAUGUAUGUGUAUAUAUAUAUAUAUUUUCUUUUUGAGACAGAGUCUCACUCUGUCACCCAGGCUGGAAUGUAGUCGCAUUGUCUCGGCUCAAUGAAAUCUCCACCUGCCAAGUUGAAGCGACUCUCAUGCCUCAGCCUCCCAAGUAGCUGGGAUUACAGUCACGCGUUACCAUGCCUGGCUAAUUUUUUGUAUUUUUAGUAGAGACGGGGUUUCCCUAUAUUGGCCAGGCUGGUCUCAAACUCCUGAUCUAAAGUGAUCUGCCCAUCUCAGCCUCCCACAGUGCCGGGAUUACAGGCGUGAGCCACUGUGCCCAGCCUCUGUGUGUAUUUUGAUUCAGUACUCUGCUGUUUAAAUCACUGUAACUUUACUGUAUAUUGGGAUAUUUCUCUUCCCAUUUUUUUUUUCUUUUGUUUAGACGUAAGAGAAAAUUUUCAGGUGAACUUUUUCAGAUGAACAAAAUGACCCUGAGAAAGACUGAAAAUUUGAUCCAAGCCACACAGGCAGUAAGUGGCAGAGCCUAGAUUAAGAUGCAGAUCUUUAUUACUCUGUGAUAUAAAUGUAUUUUCUGCAAGUAGCUAAGAUCCAAGAAUUUUGAAUUUGACAUCAAGAGACUUCUUAAUGGAGAGGCCUGAGACCUGAGGAAGACUUGGGAAAAAAGUGAGUCAGAGUCAACAAGAAGUCUUGGGUGACAUAUUUUGAUUUUUUAAUCACCUAAUUCACAUCCAAGGAUAUAUCUGCACAGAUAAGAAGGGUGUUCAGAUGGAAGAAAAACCAAAUUAACAUGUAUUACCUUUUUUCCAUAUUCACACAGAUUUAAAAACUUCUGAAAGCAUUCAUAUCUCAUUGUAAAUGGAAAUGCCCUAUUAGCACAAUGAUUAUUUCAGUUAUUUUUUUUUUUAGGUGUUUUUCCUCAUGCUUUUAAAAUGGUUUUAGCCAUUUGCAUUUAACUGUCUCAGCAGUAAAAGAAUUCUUAAUCUUUAUUCCCUGAGCUCUGCUGAUACACCAAUAACCACUGAUAAUAUCAACAUCCUGGGAAGGCAUCGCUCUGCAUUUAGGGGAGAAAGGCUAGCAAAUAUAUUAUGUUGGGAGUACUUUAAGCAAUAAAAAAAUUAUAAGACUGUCAUUAUUUUCUACCUGAAUUAGUCCAAUAUAGCUAUUUAAAAACUAGUAUGUGCUAGUAAUAUUUUAGACAGAACUUUGAGUGUUGUGCAUGGAUCAGCAUUAAUUAAGCCAAGCAGAAUAAUGCACCUAAUUAUAAGUUAUUAGUGGAGUAUAUAGUACUUAAAUAUUUGCCUUGUGACGUUAGAUAAACAUAAAAGGAAUAUUUUCAGUAUGCAAAGUAUUCCUCAACUUCUCUUUUGUUUUUCCUUUUUAUAUAGGUGAAGAGAAGAGCAACUUUACUUUUCAUUGAGGGCGCCUACAUAAAAUCUUUAGCAGUUUUCUUGAAAAUUGUCUCCUUGUUUAAAUGACUGAAAAAUAGUCAAAGGAGAAUCAGUUGCAAUUUGGGUAUCAUCAUUCAGUUUGUAUGCGCUUAAUUUUACUUUCUGAGGAAAAAUAAGUUUUAGAGUUUUUUUUUUUGAGAUGGAGUCUCACUCUGUUACCCAGGCUGGAGUGCAGUGGCAAGAUCUCAGCUCGCUGCAACCUCUGCCUCCCAGUUUCAAGUAAUUCUCCUGCCUCAGCCUCCCAAGUAGCUAGGAUUACAGGCACCCGCUACCACACCCAGCUAGUUUUUGUAUUUUUAGACAGGGUUUCACCAUGUUGGUCAGGCUGAUCUCAAACUCCCUACCUCAGGUAAUCUGCCUGGCCCUCCAAAGUGCUGGGAUUACAGGUGUGAGCCACCACACCUGGCCAGUUUUAGACACUUUCUGCAGUGACUUUAAGAGGGACACAGUAAAACUAGUGAGCACCAAGGUGAAUGUGCCCAGAGAGUGGCUUCUAAAUGGAAGAGCGCAGGAACUGAAGGUGUUUGGUUAGCAGGGGGGAAAGAAUAUUUAGGGAAGUCAUGACUCAAUGCAAAAAGCCAUGAUGUGAAAGAAAGAAUAAACUUUCCUCUUGUAAUCCAGUUACUGGAAUUGGCCCAGAGAUGGAUUUUACCUUUGUAUGAAGAAUUAGUGUUGUAAAAAUAGAAAAGACUGCUUCAAAACAGUAAUGCAUUUACAUGUACUGCAGAAAAUUUAGAAAAUGCAGACAAAGAUACAAUAAGAAUCCCUCAUAAUUCUACUACUUAGAUAUUACCACUAUUGAUAUUUGGUAUAGAUCCCCCCCCCCCAUAUAUGCUGGCAAAGCAUUGGGAGCACCUAUUAAAGAUAUUAAAGAUUUUAUACCAAAAAAGGCUAUGAGUUCCCCAUCAAGAGAAGUAUUCAGGCAGGAUGUUUGAGAUUCCUGUAUUGGAUGGAAGGUUGAACAAUCUUUGAAGUGUGGUUUGGGCUGCCGGAUUAAUGAUGAAAGAGUGAGCAUUCUGGGAAAGUCAAAGUAUCAUCUGGGGAUAAGAUGAGAUAGUAGAUAAUGACUGAGCCUUCUUCUCUACCCUUCCUUGUACAUUGGGUCUUUCCCCAAUGUUCAGUCAGCAACACUGUGCCCUCAGUUCAGGGGUGAUGCAGAAAAGCAGAAGUCCUUUUAAUUUUUGCAAGGCAAGGCAGUUGAGUUGCAAAGGACUGUGUUUUUGAGUUUCAAAAGCCUAAGUGCCAAAGGCCUCAGAGCUGCAGCCAAAAUAUGGAUGGCCUGAUCAGUAGAUUGGAAGGUAGAUAAAGAGCCAGGCUGCUUUGCUGCCAGGCUAGAGAAAGAUUUUCUGGACUUGGGGAGGGAGGGUCUAGGAAAGGUGAGACUUUGAUGAGGUCCCACGUAAGUGGCCCAGGCCCUGGUCCUUGCUAAUCCCGUUCCCUGGGAGUGCAGGCUGUUAGAAGGCUUGAGGAUCCUGAGAAUCAGACAGAUCUGUAUUCUUCUCUUUGGGGAAGACCUAGUAGUAUGGCAGGAUUCCAGAGCUGCCUACACCUAGUAUAUCAGGAGCAGUUAAGUAGAAAUUGCUGCUUUGUAUAUCUAGGCAGGGUGGCCAAAGAUAGCUCACAGAGUACUCUGUGAAGAGUGACUGAGAUCCAGACCUGGGAUUGGAAGUUGGGGAUGAUGACUGCAAAUGAAAAGGGAAUGAAGACCAGCCUGCAGAGGUGGGAAAAACUAGAUACUUUCUCUGCUGCUAAUCUGCUUUAUUAUCUUUCUCCAGCAGAAUAUAAAUGCCGUAAGCACAAGGACUUUAUCUGUUUUUGCUUAGUGCUGUAUCCAUAGACUAAGAUUAGUAUUUGGCUCAUGGUAUUAAGUACUCAACAAGUAUUUGUUGAAACGCUGUAUUAAUGGAUAUCCUUUCUGCCCCUCCACCAAAUGCUUCGGCUUUACAUAGCCCUCCAGAACUAACAACAUCACCAGAAAAAAUCUGGAAGACAGUCUUAACUGACCAAAUUCAAGUCAUUUAGAAGAAUAGGGCCUGAAAAAUAAAUUAAUUUUAAUGUUGGCACAAUAAUUACAUUUCCUGCACACCUAAAUUUCACCCUGAUGGUGAAUUAGAACAUUAGAUCUGUGGAGGAGACUAGUUGGUGUAAUGUAUGAGAGGACAAGAAGAUGAAGGCAAAAAUAAAAAGCGCAACUGUUUGAGAACUUAAGGGCCUGUAAUUGUUCAGUGUGUCUUUCCUUCGCAUAUAUUAUCUGACAAUGAGUUUCCAAACAUGUACCUAAUUUGAACAAAACUGGUGAGAGGAAUUUAGAAUAGAGAGUAAUUUUUAUCUGUUUUAUGCUAUGGUUGGAUUGAAGCUAAAGAUAAUGAUGCCAUUUUUUUGGCCAUCUAAAAUUUGACCAUAUAAUUUUAUUUUUGGUAAAAUGCUCGAUGCAUCUGCAGGAAUAUAAACCCUUUCAAAAUGUAUGUAAUACUUUGCUCAAAGAUAGAAAAUAAUUUAUUUUGCAUUUACACAUAUAAAUUUAUCAUCUGUACUACGUUGAAGGAAUGGAUUGUGCCAGUUUCUGCAUAUGUCCCUGUAAAUACGGAUGCUGGGCUAACUCAUGAUUCUAUCGUCCGGUACGUAGAACUGUGAUCACCUGUUCUAAGAAUUUCUACAUGAAAUGCCUCAUCUUUUAGGGACCACUAUCAAGCAUUAUAUUAAGCUUUAUAACAGAAGGCUCUUAGUCUGUUAAGGGGCCAUUCGUACAUUUGUCAAUUUGAUAAUUAUGGUGGCUGCUUUGCUUGCAGAGAUGGGCCACUUAGAUCUCCUUUCAAGGAAGGACUACCUGCAUAGCUGCAGGGAUAGCUGAUGGCUGCCAGCUAUCUUCUUCACGGUUUGCCUCAAUUGCAAUAAGCCUCCUUGCUCAAGGACACUGACUGAUCUGUCAACAUAUAUUUUAUGUUAUGUAUGUAUUUAAGAGACGAGCUUAUUCUGUCGCCCAGGCUAGAGUGCAGUGGCACAAUCAUAGCUCAUUGUAACCUCUAACUCCUUGGGUCAAGCGAUCUUCCCGCCUCGACCUGCUGAGUAGCUAGGACUACAGGUGUGUGCCACCAUGCCCGGCUAAUUAAAAAAAAUUUUUUUGUUUUGUAGAGAUGGGGUCUCACUAUGUUUCCCAGGCUGGUCUCGAACUCCUGGCCUCAGGUGAUCUUCCUGCCUCAGCCUCCUGAAGUGCUGGGAUUACAGGUGUGAGCCACUGCUCUGGCCCCUACUCAGUCAGUCAGUAUAAAGCCUGGACUAUUUCUGCCCACUGUGGGACGACUUUGACAGGCUCUAUGUGCCCCAGAGCUUCCUGUGGGUCUGGCUGAAGCUUUCUUGGGUCUGCACUUCAGUUCAGCUUAUUCCUCUGCCCAAUCCUGUUGCCCACCUCCUUCCUUCCACAGGGGUUAACCUUUAACAAUGCCCUGGAUGCCAAACUCUGUUUCAGGGGCUCCUUCUGGAGAACUGAACCCAUGAUUAUUAGUUCUAUGAGUGGUCCCAGAAAGCCAGCAAUAAGAUGGAGAUUUGGAGCUGGGUCACUCGCAGCCUGACUGGCAAUGAGGAGUCCAUCGAUGGUGGCAGGUGGAAUGCAGGCGGGUCCUGGCACAAGGUGGCAGCCCAAUUGUGAAAACUCACCCUGGUGGUGAAUUAGGACAUUAGAUCUGUGGAGGAGACUAGCUGGUGUAAAGUAUGAGGCAUUUAGAAAUAAUAGUGGGAGGUUGUGGAUAGUAACUCCAAGGUCAAUGAAUUGAAGAGCUGUUGCUAAGCAUCGUUGAUAUUCUACAGAAAAGUUGUAUGUGAUUAUAGGGGCCUUUACUCUGUAAAUGAGGGUUGACUAUAGGAGAGUCCAUUACAGAACUAGGCUCACUGAUUGUAAUGGGGAUGCUGAGACACUGGUAAUAGAGGCCAGCUGGUGGGGCUUAAUUACUAGAAGCCAGGUAGAUGCAAUUUUAAUAACAAGUGGCAGGGUUGAGGGGCAGCCAAGGGGGCCCGACUCAGAGAAUUAUGAGAUGGUCGCUAGAACAUAGCAUCCUCUGGAACAAAAUAAAUGGGCAGUCAGGAAGGAUGCUAUUCUCUGUAUAUCAUUGUAUUUGAAUGAUAUAUCAAAUCACUGUCUUCUAAGCUACUGUUGCUUUCUUGCCAGGUGGAGCUUCUUGGGUCCAGGCACCAGCAGUCAAGGCAAAGAGUCACCAUCUAGGCAGGUAUAAUUAACUGUGAUCAAAGGGCGGAGGCAAGGUUGCUGUUACACCAGGGGGACAGAGUGGCACCCAGAUGAUCCACAUAGGGCUUCCAAGUUCUCUGUUGCCCAGUUGUGAUGGGGCAUUAACAGGGCAGAAAUUCUUGUCUGAGAAGACAUGGUAUGUAGGAGCUUGGAUCUCCCAUGGAUGAGGGUCUGGGACAUUACAUUAGGGCAGCCACCACGACCAGCAGACGCCAUUGUUGAGGAUGAGGGGAGUCUCGAAUAGAGAGUGGAGGAUGGAGACAAUGAGCUGGGCUCAGGUCCAGCUGUAGCUGCAGAGCUUGUAGUUCAUCCUUCUAAAGAUUCCCCUUCAAAGAUCUCCUCUCUCCCUGAGAGUCCUGGGGGAGCUGCUUCUCAAAUGAACAUGAAGAACACACUCCGAGCACCACAAAGGGUGGACUGUGCUGGACCCUUGAUGUGCUACCCAGGUCUCUCUUUGAGGAAAGACUUGUUGCCCAGUUUCCAAGUGUCAAGUCCGCAGGCAGCUUCAGCUGUCAGCCCCUGCAGGGUUUGCCUCAGCUGAAGAGAGCCACCUCACCCCAGGGGACUCUUGGAGACAGCCCACGGCCAAUGACUGAUCACAGUGAGUGUAUCAAGGCCAAGCCAUCUUCAUCCUCCCGGAGACAACUGUGAUGGGCCCUGGAUGCCCCAGACCUUCUGUGGGUAGCCAGGCUUUGUCCGGCCCAAUGUCAUAGUUUGACUUCUCUUUCUACCCCAUGCUGCUCCAUCUUUACUUCUGUUGGUGUUAAUAGGUAACUGGCGCCAUGUUAAAUCUAACCUGUGACAGCAACCAUGAGCUCUGGGGAGUCAGAGAAGUUCCAAUAGAAAUAGAGCUGGCUCAUGAAAGGGAAGACCUGACAUCUAAUGUGGAGCCUAGAUCUGAACAGCCUUGUGUUCACGCAUCAUUUCCCUCCCCCUUUGAAUUCAUGCUUAAUUAUCAGCAAAACUGAGAUAAAAUCAUCACGCUAUAUCUGUAUAGUACUUUAUAUUUUCCAAACUUGUUCUGAUCAUUCUAGGGCAGAAAUUCUCUAUCCAGACUGCAUAUUAAUAUCAUCUGUGGAACAUUCAAAACCAUAUUAACCUCUGGGACCCAUCCACAUAAAAUCUGUUGCAAACGGCUUGCAGUUAGGCCUGGGUACAUUUUAAACGCUCUGCAUGUGAUUCUCUUCUAACUGGAGGGAAAGAACCAUUGCUCUUGAUCUGGAAGCUCAAAAUCUUAAGUGCUAGUUCUAUAGGUACUGACUGUGAUCUUAGAUGGGCCCUACCAUUUCUCUGAGCCUCAGAUUCUUCAUUUAGAAAGUGAAGUUAAUGGCAAAACUGAUCUCAUAGGUUGUUUUGAAGAUUAAAUUUAAAAAUGUAUGUGAAAACCCUUUGCAAGCUAGAGAAACAUUUUUUUUUUCUUGAGACUGAUUUACGUUUUUGCUGCCUGUGCCGGAGUGCAAUGGCACUGUCCCGGCUCACUGCAACCUCUGCCUCCCUGGUUCAAGCAGUUCUCCUGCCUUAGCCUCCUGAGUGGCUGGGAUUAUAGGCAUGCGCCAUCAUGCCCCACUAAUUCUUUGGAUUUUUAAUAGAGAUGGGGUUUCACCAUGUUGGCCAGGCUGGUCUCGAACUCCUGACCUCAGGUGAUCUGCCUACCUCGGCCUUCCAAAGUGCUGGGAUCAUAGGUGUGAGCCACCACGCCCAGCCAGAAACAUUAAUUUUUAUUAUAUGUGAUUACAUUUCUUUCUGUCAAUUGUUUUAUAAACAUGGAAAGGGAGAUUAGAACUCACUGGUUUUCCACUCUGGCUCAGGCUUUUAAUAAAGGAAAGGAAUUGCACAGAGAUUCUGAUUUGGUAGUUCAGGGUUGAGACCCGGGACUCAGAGUUGCUAAAAAGCUUCACAGAUGAGCCUGGUGUGCAGCCAGGGUUAGGGACUUCUUGGUUAAUGAUCUGUCCAAAGGUUACACAGUGCUAAUAAAGUCAAAGAACCAGGGACUCAACUCUAGCCCUUUCCAUGCUUCUCUAGAGUUUUAUCUACUAUUAUCCAUGCUGAGUGCUCUUUCGUGUACAUACUUAUUGUAACAUUGUAUGUUAAUCAUAAAAUAUAAUAAUAGAGAUAAAAGGGAUUUUGAAUUUAAAACAUAUAAAUAUAAUGUGUUAUGAUUAUUAAAUGUUAAAAUAAUUACUCCUAUCCCAUUAGCACUAAAUCAUAUGAUUUGUGUGCUUUUAGUAAGGGGUGAAACUCUGUAGGUAACACAAGCUAUUUUUAAGAUUAUAUGAACCAAGCAUAAAUUAAACAAUGUGACACCAAGGCUGAAAUAAUGUACGCAAGUACUAAAUGAAACGUUUAAGGGAAUUCAAAAUAGAGUAAUGAACUGUUACCUACUGUUCCCCUAUCUUGAACAUGCUGACUUAAUGUGGCAUCAUGAAGGAAGAGAAUGGAAUAAAGAGAGAGAGAAGGAUGCAUAGAGAAAUGAAGAUCGUUUUCGUGUGAUCAUGACCAGGCCAUUCAUAUUUCUCUUAUAGCCUGGAAACAAUUUCAUACUUAUUGGAAGAUGUGACCUUGAAAUGUUCCUUACUUGCAAAAAGACAAAUAUUCUCGGAGCCGGGUGUUAGCUGGUGGACUCAUCUGUCCUGCCUGCCCUUCGAUUGGAGGCCACUGCAGGCAGAAUGCAGACUGGAGUGGAGCAAGUGUGGUACUUAUUUUUUACAUUUCCAGACUUUAGGGUAAGCUCUCUUUGACAGCACCCUGACUUCUUUAACACAGCAAAUCUUUAAUCAGUGUAGAUAUGUUAAAAUGUGAUUUUUUACAGUGAAUUGACCUGAGUUGAGUACUUGAGUUGUAAUGUGUAUUUUUUUCCCCCUCUCAAAAGCUGACUUGUAGGGGGAAAAAAAAAAUCAGAUAUUCUAUGAUAUACUUUGCCUUAGUGACAAGAUGUUUUGGGGGAAAUCAUCCAAGCUUGAAAUAAAAUCUUUAUUGAAAGUAAUUCUACAUUCAUGCCAGUCAGAUACAUUGUUGGAUUAGACCAGAUAUCCCAGGGGAAAACUAUGGUAUAUGCAGCAGGCUGAGUUGAUUAUUUGGGCCUCCUGUCAGUUUUUAACUUCCUGACAAUGGCUGAAGCAUUCACGGCCGCUACAACUCUGUUUUCAUCUUUAUUUUGAGAGAAAGUUAAUACACUUUACCUUAACUAUGCCAAAUGUACUGGAAAAUAACCCAGUAAUAAGAUAUACUCCGCCUACCAAGUGAUAUCUGUGUGUAGAGAGCAUUUAGCUGUGCAUUUUAAGGAAACAAAUACACGCAGCAAAUGACUGAAAGAUAUUGUGAUUAUUUUUUCUGCUUGAACUUUAAAAUUUUCUUGGCAAAGCCUCCUGUGUGCUGUCUUAAAACCAGUAGGUAUACAUAAUCGUGGGGCCAAGUAAAAUUUCAUUGCAAAUUCCCUUCAAAUGGCAGGGCAGCUUUUCUUUCCCCCUAUAUUAGAGUGAUUUAGUUAUCAAUGUUAUUUGACAUCAAAAACAAAGACAUAGGUGGGCCAGGUGACAUUUGUUUCCACUUAGAGAAUCAACAACAGCUUAGGAUGUCACUUUUGAAAAGAUCAUAAAAUUGCUUUUUGGACAUAAUUAACAGUGUAACCAAAGAAGAGAGAAAAAGGCAUAAUUUCAAAUUUGGAAUUAUAUUCUGAUUCACUGUGAAGACAACAUAGUGUUGUAGUUGCAGAGAAAAAGAAAGACAUGACCUCUAGUAGAUGUUUGAUAGUAACCACAUUCAUUUGAAAAUUCACAACUUAAUUUUGUAAUUCUCAUCUUUUUGUUCUAUAUUCUAAAAUUAAUUGCUCUCACGUUGCCUAAGAACAGAAGCAAGAAGGUGAAGUGGACUUUGAUUCAAGUUUAAGAACACAAAUGAUAGUUUAGUAUUGUGUUCCAAAAAAUCACAACGUAUUGCCUCAGACAAGGAAGUCUCAAGGUAAAAAGUAUAUGUGUUCUGAGAACCAUAUUUUCUACCUGAGAAAUAUGUUGGUUAAAAACUUAAGUUUAAAAAUUUUUGUUUUUAAGUUAAAGAUUCUAGAUGUCCUCUGAUAAAUGAAUGGAUAAUGAAUGGAUAAACAGCUGUGGUAUAUCCAUACAACGGAAUAUAGUUUAGCAAUAAAAAGAAAUAAGCUAUCAAACCAUAAAAGAACAAGAAGAAUCUUAAAUGCAUAUCGCCAGGUGAAAGAGGCCAAUCUAAAAUCGCUGUAUACUAUAUGAUUCCAAGCACCUGACAUCCUGGAAAAGGCAAAACUUUGGAGACAGAAAAAGAACAGUGGUUGCAGAGGUUUUGGGGAGGGAGGGAGGAAUGAAAAGGUGGAACACAGCAGAUUUUUAGGGUAGUAAAAAACUAUUCUCUGACACUAUAAUGGUGGUUACAUGUCAUUACACAUUGGUCAAAAUCCAUAGAAUGUACAGUGUAAAGAGUGAAGCCUAAUGUAAACUAUGGACUUUAAUUAAUGUCUCAAUAUUGGCUCAUAAGUUACAACAAAUAUACCACACCAACACAAGAUUUUAAUGAUAGGAGAAAUUGUGUGUAUGUGGUGGGUGGAGAGGAAGUAUAUGGGAAGUCUCCGAUCUUUUUUUUUCUUUUUUUUUAAGUUCUGGGAUACAUGAAUACACGUGCUGAGCGUGCAGGUUUGUUACAUAGGUAUACAUAUGCCAUGGUGGUUUGCUGCACCUAUCAACCCAUCAUCUAGGUUUUAAGCCCUGCAUGCAUUAGGUAUUUGUCCUAAUGCUCUUCCUCCCCUUUCUCCCCACCCCCUGACAGGCCCCAGUGGUGAUUCUGAUCAGUUUUUUAAACCUAAAUCUGGUUUGAAAAAUCUAUUAACAAAAAAAAAGUUAAAAGAUGAUAAAGCAGAUAGCAUCCAUUCAGGGCUUAGAGGUCAAUUUACCUGCUCAUGUAUCCUUAUGGCCACACACAUUUGAGUUGUUUUGCACUUAUAUUACUACUAUUUUUAUUGCCACAUUUAUGCCAAUCAUGCUACUCAAAAACAUAUUUAAGCAUGUCUCUACUAGGAAGACUUUUAGAAUCAUAUUCUGAUCACUUGCUUAUUUGCUUUCUUGGCAUUUAAGCAUUCAGAUUGUAUUACAUUGUUGUUGAUAUGUUUUAUUUUUAUCGCUAAGUUAUUUCAUUCACAUAUGUUUUACUCUCUCAAUUAGAUUGCAAACUCUUUGCAUUUAGGUGAUAUGUUACCUUCAGCUUUCCUCCUAUUUCAUUUGUGGUAAAAAAGUUAGGGCAUUCAGUAACUUCUUAUUACAAAUAGUUUUUGUUUUAUGUUUGGCUGACAGAUUAAGCUUUUUCUCACCCAAAAGGGACUGUCUGAACAGAAGUGAGGUACUCCCCAAUAUUUUUCUGUCUGCAGUCAGAACAACGCUGUCAACAGACAUUCAUGUUUGUUAGAUGUUGAGGCUUUUUCUGUGUCAUUUCUCCCUAUGUUCUUCCUAUCUUCUGUGUUUUACUUUCUUUGAAAAAAAAUUACAGAGGAUGACUGGAGGAUAUAAUUUGCAAAUACAACAAUAUAAUGUAACAUUUAGAGGGUUUUUUUUUGAAAAAGGAAUUUGGUAAGUGCAAAAUAUCAUCUGUGGAUGCUCCAUUUUCAAAGGUUUUAUGAGAGUGUGAAAUUACUUUAGGUUAAGGUAUCAAAAAUAGAAUGUGGAAGUCAUGAGGUUCGUGUUGAAAAGUCUUGGUUUCUUACGGGUAAUUUCUACAUAAUCCAAAUAAUAUAUACAGAAGAGAAUGUCUAAAUAAUCUACUUCACUGACAUAUAGAAUUGUGUGGAAAUUCGUGAGGUCAACUGACCCACAAUACCAUAGGAAGUUGGAGAAAAAAGCUGAUUUGACGAAGCUGCUUUUGCCUCAUUACUGCACACCAGUUUUAAUUACUGGAACGAAAGAUCAACUUGAACAAGGAAACAGAAAGCCUGAUUUUUCUCUUCUGGCUUCGCUUCUUACUACCUGUAGUACUCUGGGCACUCACUUAGCCUUGCUCAGCUUCAGUUUCCUCAUUUUGAAUAUCAGACAGUUGGGCAGAAGAAUUUCUAAUUUCCUUGUGCUGCAAAUCCUAUUAACAAUUUUAAACACCUUUUCCUUCCUGUAACUUGAAAUACUUUGCAAGGAAAGUUGACAAGCUCAGAAACACAUUGCAAGCACAGCCAUCAAUUGCAAAAUAAGUGAACCCUAAAAUGUAAAAAGUUUGUAGUAAUCUCUUGCAUAUAUAUGAAUAUUUUAAAUAUACAUUUAUAUAUUAUAGGAUGUUUAUAUGUACCUUUACAUUUAUUUAUCAAAGUGAUGAGUGAAAUAGAAAGGCAGAAACAAGAUUUUUAAGGAAACAGACAUGAGUCUCCAUCUCUUGGAAGCAUGAGGGUGUGUCUAUAGUCUGAGUUUUUGUUUUCUUACACUUAUAAAAGAAUGGUGGCAUUGGACAAAGAGACCUGCUCUGGCAGAAGGGAUGGCACACAGAUUUGCUUCACCUGGCUGAUGGUGGCUGCCUGCUCUGUGAGAAAGGACCCUGAAGGUGAAGUCACAGUGUAAAAGGGUGAUAUGAUCACUCAGUUAUGUCAACAUGGGUUCAGGAAUGGGGAAUGGUGGCAUGUAUGCCAGGAAUGUGCCAUUCAGCAGAAAAGUAAUUUCAAAAGGUAACCAGAUACAUCUAUGGAAGCAACAAAAGGUAUUCCUGGAUGAGAAGGAAUCUGCGAACUUGAGAGGCAAGCUCCUGGGGGUUUUGAGCCACGUUGCCCUUAAGUGAGUAUAGAAAGAAGGGAAAAUUUAAAGGAAUAGAGGUAUCAAAGUAGACAAACAGUGACUUUAGGAAUAUAUUAGAAGUAAUUUACAAAGAUAAAUAUUUGAAGCGGAUUUUAGAGAAAUCUAUGUAAAUGGGAUAUGUCUUGGUGAUCCCUUCAGGUGAGCACAUAUAGAUCUGCUUCAUUUUUAAAACAAUAACUUUACAAUAUUCAUAGUACGUAUUUUUAAAUCCCAGUUCCCAACGGAUGUACAUUUUCUCCCUCCCUAUAUUUUGUUGAUUUUAUAGUCAUGAAAAGAUCAGGCCUUUCCAUGGUUGUAGGUGGAUAUUGAAGACAGAAUCAUAGGAAAACUAUAAUAGUCUCUCAAUGAUUAAAAAGAUGUACUAAUGUUGGUGGUUAAGUGAUAAUUUUAUUGCAAUAGUGAUUAUAAAGAGAGGGGAGAUGUACAAGGAUGCUGAAUAAAGGAGCUUCAGUAGAUUCCCUGUAUUUUGUGUUUAUACAUUCGCACUCUUGUGCGGCGCCUCUUUGCAGUGCCUUAUCUAGGGGGAUUACUAAUAUGACAACACUCCUGAUUUAUAGAAGCUCAAUUAGGUUAAACAGUUUGAUUCAUUUCAAUUGGAUUAAAAAAAUCCCUUGUUGAAUCUGAAUUCUUGCUCUGCAACUAACACAAACUCGCACUCAUUAUUACUUAUGGUGCUUUUCUUUAUGGAUGAAGUGCUUCUCAGCCAAGUAGCGGUAGUCAUCCAGCUGAUGACCAUAAGGAAAACCAAACACUGUCAGUAGAAUAACAUCCUUAGCCAAGUGUUUAUGUUGGAUACAUAUACAAUGCAGAACUGUUCUUAACUAAUGAUACAAAGUUGGCCUCCCCAAGUCUCUCCUUUUGUAUUAUUCCUUGCCACCCAUGUGUUGAGCUAGAUUUUCUCAGGACCUAAGCCCCACCCUAAAAGUAAGUUCUGCUUCUUUGCAAGCUGGAUUUAUUCUUUCCAGCUUCCAAGUGAACAUCAUACAUCAAAUAAUUGUGAGUUAGCUAUAAAUACAAUUGUGAUGUGACUGUUAAUGCAGUUUCCAAAGGUGAUUAAUUUAUGUACACAGGGUAUCUUAAACAAUGAAAUGAUCUGGAUAAUUUGAAAUUUUAAAAUAUUGUCCUUUAUGGCAUUUUGUUUAUAUUUCCUUUGUAAAUCUAUUGGUUCAUUAUAUUCUUAAUAAUGUUUUUUUUUUCUUCUGGAAGGCAGAGAGAACAUCCAAACCUUGCUACUAAGGACUUUAUUUUCUUUCUUCCCCUUACUCCAACUUUCCGUGUUUUGAUUACUCUCUAACCUACAAUCUGGAAGUUUCUCCUCAGUUGGCUGAAAUAAUGUUUUGCUGGCAUUCUUCUAACCAGAUAUCCCCUUGAUAUGUUUUAUACCAAGCUGAAAGAUCUGGCAAACUGCUGAAACGGGGAACGAGGCAUUGGCACACGAGGAGCAAGGGAAGACAGACCAGGUACAACCUAGUGCUGUCCCCGAACAUGGCUUUCAUGGCAGAGAGAGGCCACAGGAGUCAGUACAGAGAUCGCAAGAAACUAAGAGGCACAGGUUGAUAAAGCAGCUUAACACAGGCCACAGGCAGGGAAAGAACAUCUGCGGGAACCACAUGGAGACUGUCCAAGUCAAUAGAACACCAUCAGUAGGGCCUUCCCUACACAUGACCGAAGUAGCAUGCCCCUCAGUAGAGGUCUUCUACCUCUACACCUUAAUGACUGUCUGGGAAGCCCCCUUCUAAAGGAGCUAAUGUGUAUUCAGUCCUUGCCUUGUUCUACUGAAGUGCAUUAUCUUAUUUUUCAUGAAAACAUUGUGAGACAGGUACUAUUAUUCCCAUUUUAGAGACGAAAAACCUGAGGCUCAGGGAGGUUGCCCAGUGACAUAGUGAAAAUGCUGUGCCAAGGUUUAAACCCGGCUCACCUGAGUUUAGAAUCUGAACGCUUCUUAUCCCGCUGCCUAUCUGUCCUCUUCAGUUUGUUUGGUUUCUCUGUUUGCUAUUCUUUUUCCUCAGUCGCCGCUCUCUUUAGUUCCCAAUCAGAUAUCCCUUGUCUCUAGACCCAGAGCUGGGAGCCAGCCUGUCCCCUUUCUUCCCCUGGUCCCAGCUCACUUAACCCCAGCCUGGGUUGGAGCCCCAGGCCCCUUGCUUUCCUGGCAGGAGAAUAAAGACAGCUGGCAGUGAGAAAAGUCUGUGAAGGAGAAUAUGAGCAGUCGUGGUUAUGGCUUUGCUGUGUGAGAACUCGCUCUGUCAGGGAGCUGCAUGGGCUUCCCACACUUGCUGCAUGGACAGAUGUUUUCAAUUAUUAUCACUGACAAGCCUCCGGGCCAGGUUCUUUUCUGAUUGGCUGUCACUGGACUGUGAGGGGAAUAAAGGAAACUGAGGCUAGCACGCAAAACACCUCAGUCAUCACUUUAAUCAUGUUUCUCCAAAGCAACUGGUUGAGUUGGACAGUUCACCUCAGAUUGGAAUCGUUUUGUAAACACAGACUCAAUUUCCUUUUAAACCUUUCUUUCAUUCUGGUUUCAAUUUUUCUGCCCAAAUUUCUUCUGACAUAAGAGGGAGACAUUUGUCAUUUCUUUACCGAUUCUUUCCUUUUGUUGGUUUUCCAGUGUUUUGGGUACGUACCAGAAUGUAGUAGGAGUUCUGACUUGAAGAAAUUUAACUUGAUAUUAUUAGACUUCUAGACUUGGCGUUGCACGGUCUUCCACAAAAAUGACCUAUGUCUGAUCUGGAAGCACGGAUAUCCUGUGUUUCCAUCUGCAGUCACGUGGGAAAUGUCUCACCCUAAGUCAGAAGCCACUUCUCAUUUCAGGUUUGCACCAACCAUGGAGCCAUUUGACAUAGCUCUGUGCAUGACUAGAAUUGUUGUCUACCUUCCUAGCUUGUGAUCAGAUCUGCUAUAAUUAGUGUGAUUUCCUUUUUUUAUUGCCUCUGGUGUGUCCUAAGGAGAUCCAAAGACCAGUUGGUCCCAGGGGAAAUCUGACAAAUCAUGGGCAUGGUCAAUAAUAAAAAAGAAUAUAGACCUGGCUCUCAGAAAUCUUCCUGAUAACUGAUAACUGUCUCCUCUAUGUAGCUCCUUCUUUAAUGGGAUCAAUUAUAUUUGGUACCAAUCAGUUUCUAGCUGCUUAUUGUUUUUUCUUCCCUUCCUUUUUCUAUAACUUAGAAGGGAAAAUAAGAUCAUCAGGUGGAUUAAAGCUUUCUGAGUUCAUUUUUAUUUCUCAUUCUUCAUGUCAUAUAUCUGGUUGGAAAAAAAAUGUAUUCAAGAUGCUCCGGCAUUUCUGCAUAUUAGUUUUAUGUCCUUUUGAUGUCCUGAAAUUUGGUUUGUGUGUGGUCCAUCUUGCUCAAGUCUCCAGGCUGCCUGGUCUCUGCUGCCAUUUUAAAACAAUAGCAGCAGACAUGCAAGUCUCCAAAUGUAUUCGGUAAAGCAGAUACAAUUCAUAGUCUUAAUUCUUGAAGGCCCAAGUCUCCAUUUCAAUUUCUGAAAAAUGUCUCUUUGACUUUCAAACUAAACUCUUUUAUUUUAAGCUCAAAGAUAAAAUAUUAUAGGAUGUUAAUUCAUCCUUUUCAAAAAAGGCACAUGAGGGUUAAAACAUAUGCUUCCUUCUUCACUCAGAAAAAAAAUUCAUUCCAACCUUUUUGGGGGGAUCACAUAUAGCUCUAAAACAGCUGAAGCUAAAAACAUCAAAGUUGGCAUGACUUCAGUUAUCACUGAAUCAGGAAGAUCAAGCCAAGUUUUUGAAGAAAAUGGUUGAGCAUUUUAAAAAUAAAAGAAGUCAAAAUGCUUUCUCUGAGCAUGCUCAGUGGGAGGUUUUAAAAUAUUUUCUUUAGGUCAGCUUUAUUUUGCUCAUUUCUUUGGAAAUAUUUCAACAAAAGCCAUCUAAUUAGUCCUUAAUAACAUUGUUCACUAAUGCCCUAGCCAAGGCCCAAGUGUCUGUCAUCUGCCAAAGUGAUGUUUUCACCGUGUUUGCCAAGGGACCACUACUGGGCAAUGCGGGUAAAAGGUCAUUAAUUAGGAGAAGAUUUAUCUCAAGGAAACGUAUGAUCUGUGGGUAGUGUGGUCAAAGAUGACUUCUGCAGAUAAAAACAUCAUCUUGUAUGCAAGAAUGGCAAAAAGAUAGAUGAAGAUGGAGAAAUGUGCACCUAACACUGCAUCUUUAUGAGCAAAGGAUUUUCUUUGGAAAAACUGUGAUUAUAUGAAAAUCAUAGGACAUUUUAUUUGUGACUACAGGGCGUGGUGAAAACCUCUGCUACCAUACUGGAUACAAGGUAACUCUUUUCAUUUAGAAAUUUAAAGCCAUUAUUUCUGAUUAUUUAGGUUUUUACCUGGAUUCACACUUAUUUUCAGGUAAAUUGAAGUAGUUUUAUAACAAAGCGUGAGGAGGAGGUGUGGGGAGGGAAGGAAAAACCCAAAAUAGCCCAAGGAUUUAGUAGACAUGAACAGUCAAGGACUUGACAUGUCCAGCUUCAACAUGUAGAUCCAAGUUUAUUCUCUUGAGUUCACGAAUGAGAAGAGGAACAAAUGGCUCUUAUUCUUGACAUAAAAACAAUCUUCUGCAGGGAAAAAUAAUAUAUGUUCAAAUCUGAAUUACCCUGUAGGCUACUAGCACUUAGAUCUGCCUAAUACUGUUACUUGAACAAUUAGGGCAUGCAUGUAAAAUUUUAACAUUUGUAUGUUUCUGCAUUCAAGCACACAAAUAGCAGGAUACUUGCUGCAUUCAGUGGUGGCCGCACAGUAACUCAUAAAUUAAUGCAUACAAGAAGGCUAAAGUUUAAAUUAUAGAACUCGAGUAACAAGAAACCAGCUAAGCAUUAGGGCAGAAUGUGCAUUUUGUUUUUGUACUUUUGUUUGAAAACCUCAAAUCAUGCAAGUGUUCAACCUUGCCCAGGGUUAAGAGGACUCCCAUUGAGUUUAUUAGUAGAUGUAGGGAACAAGCUGGGUGCUGCAGUAUCAAUCCUCUGAGUGGACUAAUAUUCCGAGGAUUAAUACUCAGCCCUCUUGGGCUGCUAGAUUUCUGGACCUACUUUGAAAUGAGUCUUAUACCCAUCAAAAUAUAAUGAAGAGGGCAUGUCUGUGAAAAUAUGAAAACCAUUCUUAUUUUCCAUAUUAAUGAGAAAAGUUAAUUUAUUUCUCACACUGGGACAUUUUAAGUGAAAGGCAUACCUUCAAUGAUACCAUAUAAAUCUUGGAUAGCUAGUUAACGUUGCUAGUUAUUUUGAAUUUUCAUUGUAAUUUAACAUUAUAUAAAGCGACGUAUGUUUGUAAAUUGAGAUAAAAGAGCUCUGACGGACAGAAUAAGUACAGAAUUAAAGAUUAAUUUUUUCCCCAAAUGAGAUCUUUUUGGCUUGUCCUCUUACAAUUACUGCUUGGAUGACUGAAAUGUAUUCUUUGUUUGUAACUCAAUGAUUCACAUAAAGGCAGCCUUGCAGUACCACAUAAAAUAACUAUAAUAAUUUGUUGAAAUUGAAGAAAAAUGUGUUCAUGUAGAAAGCACCUAACAACUCCUGCUUUGGUGUAUUCUUUCCAUAAUCCUUCGAUCAGCACUGUAAUGUGAGCAGAUUCAAAGUAUACUUUCUAAUAAGUGCCUUGCUUUUUUUAUGUUCUUUUUUUUUUUUUUUUUAACUACUUGGUGAUAUCCUAAUUAACCAUGCUCAAUUGAUUGCUUUCAAAAUAAGAACUAAGAGCUCUCAUCUAGUCAAGUGGAAGCUAAUUCAACUCUUUUACACUAUGGCAAUGAUAAAUCUCACACACAUACUUCCACUCAUACCCACCACAUGUAUUAUAUUAGCAAUAUCAUACUCUAGGUCUUCUGGUUUGAGUCAGUAUAACAUGAUAGGCACAUUUCUAUGGAAUUUCAUGCAUUAUUUUCUUUUAAUGCUUAUGAGGGUAAGUACAAAUAUCCAUUUUUCAUUCACAGAGUAGAAUUAUUUUUUGACUUUUUUUGUGAUCUUUUGACCAACUCUCACAUCCAGAAAAUGUGCCAUUUCUCUUGGAAAAAAGCAAAAGAGUAUGUGGGUGAAAAGAAACUCAACACAGGCAGAAAGAAACUGACCAUUUCAUGUCUUAACCCAAUUGCUACUCUCGGUUUUCUUUUCUUUUUGUCAAAAUUAAACACGUCUUAUUUGGAUUGACAAGCACUUAAUCAUUUGAUUAUGAGAUUAUAGUAUGUGGUCAGAGCAUCUACUGCAUGAUGUUAUUUUGCAGUAGAGGACACACUUUUUAGAUCCUCAUUACUGUGGGUCACAUCUCUGGUCUCAUAGAUAAAUGAGGGUAGACAAUACAAUACAUACUAACUGUCAUAUACAGAACUGAAAAACUGUUUUCAGCAUAUAUAAAUCCCAGUCAAGGCAUUACACAACUGGAGUUUAAAAUGUUACAUGUAAAUCAUCCAGACUUAAGCUUCUUGGGAAACACAAACCGUUCUCUAAGGACAUACGAGACCAGAACGUCAGAAGAUGCUGUCUCACUGUGGGAUGGCAGAAAACAGUGGCUCACAGACCACCCUGGUGUAUAGUAAUCAACAAUGCAGUGGCCCACUUUAUAAAGGCGUCAGACAGUCUGUAAGCAAAAAAGGCAGAGCCUCCAACUGAGACAGGCCCUGCUAAUAAGUGGCUUCUAGGAAAAAGAAAAAAGCUGCUUUAGCAUAUGCAACAGGUCUCAUAUCACAAUCUUUUUUUUUCUUUUGCAUUCCACCUUCUUCUUUCAUAUGAAACAACUCCAUCAAGAGUGUCAUUCUGAAACACCAUGAGCAACAGAAUAGAAGAAUGCACUGACAUUCUUACCCUUCUGCUCUCACAGCCCUUCAUACAUUUAUUAUGGUGCUGCACUUGUAAAUAUCUCAUCACAUGUCUGUUUCCCCUGCUGGACUGUGAAUUUCCUGAGUGCAACACCAUGCCCUGCUCAUCUUACUGUUUCUACUUUCAACAUUAGUGCGUGCUGAAGAAAUCCUUCAGUACAUAUUUGGUGAAAGAGCUUUUCAAUUCCAUUACUGCCAGAAUAGCUAUCUGGGAGGCUCUGGACAAACCACUUCAUGUGUUUUGCUUCAGUUUCCUCAUCUAACGAAUGGGAAUAAUGCCAUCUUGAACAUUUUGCAAAAACUUGGCCAAAGAGAUUCUGCAAGAGAGAUUAUGUAUUUGAAAAUAUUUAAAAAAUAUUUUUUAAAAAAGCUUGUGUUUGCAAGGUGCAGGUUGGGGCAUUUCUUGCAAUAUAAGCUGAAUUUCCUGAAUAAUACAGCCACCACGUGAUGCUUCAAUAGUAUCGCGGAAUUUGACUUACUCAGACAAGAGUUAUUUGAUCUUAUGUUCCCUACCAUUCAAAAGAAUCUAAUUAAUUUGUAUAAUUUAUAUAUUUGAUAAUGAAAAAUAAAAGACAAUUAUUUCAGAAAGUAUUGACGACAUUUCAGUUUCCUUAUAAUUCUGACUUUAUAUGAGCAAAAGUACUUCAGUGAGUGCUCAUACCUGCUGUGAUAAGUACAGAGACUAAACCACAUUUUGUCAAUAAGGGGCAACUUGUACAAACUGGGUAUGCAAAUAGAAAAUAAUAAUGUUGAAGAAAGUAUAAUUAAUUAAUUCAAGCUUCAAGAUAAGAUCACUGGAUCCUGCUGACCCUACAUGUUAAUCAGUUGAUUAAUUGCUACAAUCAUAAUAAUUAUAUGGUACAAAUCUAAGUACACUUAAUGACAGUGUAGACUUAGAGUUAAAAGUUCUUUUCAAUCUGCAGAUCUUUUCUCUUUCUUGAAUCAAGGGAGUUGGUUUCAUUUACUUUAAAGAUUUUACUUUAAAGAUAUCUUUUGGCUUGUAGAGCUGGAGAGCUUAUGCCAAAAUUAGCCAAAGUUCAUUUUUGCCUGUUCAAUUAACCAUUUUUGAUUAUUUCUUAAUGCUCUGUUUAAAGAUGUAAAACAAUCUCAAACCUAUGUAAUAGGAAUUUUGCAUCAUACAUCUUCAUCCAAUCAUAUUACUUUUACUCCAAACAUGCUCACUGUACGAAGUGGUGUCGCAAUUAUAUGGCAGUGGGUGUCCCCCAACAUACAGUUUUCUAUACUUUCUGUUCUAUAUUUGGAUAGCAGAUAGAAGGGGUCUGAGUUGUUAUUGACAUACUCAGAUAAAAGUAUGUGCUAUAAAGUGAAUAUAAUUUAUCAAGAACCAUCGAGACAUUUAAAAUGAGGACUAGAACUAAAAUGGCUUAACAUGCAUACACAUUUAUAUUUUUCACGUGAGAAUCCAAGUUUUAGGCUUGAUUUUUUUUGCACGCAGCAACUUAUAUCUUGGUAUCAUUGAUCUGGCCGAACUUGCGUUCUGAUCACUGUCAACUUCUGACUGGCUAUUCAACGUUCCAGUCACUGUAAAAAUUCAGUUGGGUAAUCUUGAACAAAUUCCUUACAAAGGUACACUGACCUGUGUUGGGGCUCAGAACAUGAUACCUCCAAGUAUGGUCCUUUGGCAUGCUGAGUGCUUUGAACUGAAGAAGAUUAGAAGGGCCUCAGAAGCAGGAAGUUCUCUCUGAUCUUUGCCUGCACUCCUUUCUCCUCUCAUUUCUCCCCGGAAGCUGAUCAUAUAAACUAGAACUCUUCCUCAAAGCAAGCCAUAAAACCUAGAAAUGUCACUCUCUAACUUUCUGUCUUCUCCCCUGAAGACCCUGAUGUGAUGGGUGUCCUGCCCUGUACCCAGAGGAAGGAAUGUCAUACAGAGACACAGAAAAGAAUCUAGCAAACAGGCCUUGCUGAGUUCCACUCCCUACCCCCAGUCUAUUACCAUUAGAUCAUACUUUUGUCCAACCACAUUUCUACAUGGCUGUUCGUUCUCUAUCAAACCUUAACAUAAAAAUGCACAGUUUUCCCUAGGUCUUCGGAUCUUCAUUUCUGAAAGUUCCUGUGUCACACUUUUGAUUAAAUAAAUCUGUUAUGCUUUCCCCUUACUAAUCUUUCUUUUGUUAUAGAGGUGUCAGCCAUGGCCCUCAAAAUGGGUAAGGAAAAUGUAUUGUACUUUUUUGCCCCUACAACUGUCCGGAUUCUGUCUGUAGGAGCAAUGCCAGUAAGAAUAAUCAUCUGACUGAUAAUUUGUGUUUGACUCAGUUUUCUACUGUGUGCAAAACAACUCAUCAACACAGCUUCUCAAUUUCUGUCAAGUACAUUUCUAUCCUCUUGGUUAUCUAGCUUCAAACCCUAACCCAUCUAUUUCUUCCAAGACCGUUUAACCGAGAUGUCAUUAAAUCAUUGCAACUUUUCUUUUUUGUAAUCUUUUACAUAAAGUUUCUUCUUUUCCUUCAUUUCUUCCUUUUAUUCUUUUGCAAAAUAGUGAAAUAUUUUUAAGUUGGUGAACACCUUAGAUGUAACCAAGCUACUAGAUGCUUCUUAAACUUUUGCCUGCAUAUUAAUAACCUGGAGAGCUUGUAAAAAGAGAUUCCUAGACUCUAUAUUCACUGGUUAUCAUAAAGGAGGUCUGGAGUGGGGACCUCAAAUUUACAGUCUAACAUGAUCCGAGGUGAUUCUGAUGCUACCAGUCUUUAAAGUAUACUUUCAGUAACACUCUAUAACUUUUUUUUGGUGGGGGGGGGUGGGUGGAGGGGAGGUGUCACACAUCUAGGAAUCUUGCUCCAGAAAAUACACAGAUUCACAUGUACAUAAAUUUGGCCAAUCUUCUGGGGAGUGGCACAUGAGCCUCUUGAGGCAUAUCCAUGCAUGGGUCCCAGAGGACUCAGGUCACUUGCCCAAGGUUAUAUUUGGGCGAUAGCCAAAUGUAGUGCCAAAUCACAAUGGGGUUUCCUGCUUCCCUUCCCCUCUUAAACAUAUCCUGACAAUUACCACCACAUUAUCUUCUCUAAAACAUGGGUUUCUGCUUUCCACUACCUUUCUCAAAAAUCUUUAAUGGAGUUUCCCUGCCUGCAGCAUAAAAUUUAACCCAUCUGCAGUAUUGAAUUCUCCGCAAUUAAUUAGUUAAUUUAUUGACCAAGAAUUUACUGAGUCCCUUUUCUGUGGAAAGUUCUGUGAUAGGCAGGAGGAUAAGAAAUUACUGCUUUGCUUUCAGGGAUUCACAAUACUGGAUUAACUGUAUCUGCUCUCCUUUGUUUCCUACUGCUGUCUCCAAAAUCAUUGCUGCCUUCAACCCCAAUUCCUCACUUUCCACAAAACAGCAGCCUGGUCUCAGGGCUGGAGUCAGUGCUUGGCUGGAGCCAACAUUCCCUGGCUGGCUCUCCAAACUCCAUAUACUCUUAAUGCCUCCUUCAUGAAGGCCUCCCAAACACUGCAUUUUUGUCUCUCCCUUCUGUAGAACAUUUAUUGUCUUCAUCAUUCAUUGUGCUGCUAGAUCACAUGUGCUCACAUGUUCUUCUCUAGUUCAGGGAAUGUACCUCUUACUUCUUCAGUACUCUCCUUGAGGAGCAUAUAGCAUGGCUUGGACAAGGUGCUGUGAUGUCAACAUACUACGAGUAGGAAGAGCUGCUCUCCUCUUAUUUGGCUUCACCAAGGAAAAAGAACCAAAAUCAAUGGUUCCCAAAUGUGACUGCCGCCAGGAUCACCUGAGGGUUUCCUCAUGAUUUUUUUUAGAAAACAUUUUGGAAACUUACCCUAGGCAUAAUGAAUCAACAUCUACCUGGGUGGGUCCAGGAAUCUGUUUCCACAAAGGUGAGUUGGAUCAAAAAGCCAGGUUUGAGAAGCCUUCAAACAACUGAUUCUGAAAUCCCCCCCAACAUUAUCUACUCACCCUCUUCUUAUACAUAAAAAAAAAUCACUACAAAUAUACUUAGUGCAGAAACUUGCAGAACACAGGAAAACAAAAAAGAGAAAAAAACCUGUAUAAUCAUUCCCUGCUAAUAUUUUGAAGUAAAUCCUUUCAUUCUUUUCUCUACAUAUAAAUAUUUACAAACAUAUUUUACAAUAGGCUUAUACUAUACAUGCCAUAUCAUACUUAUAUUCUCUUAAUAUUUACUGGUGUUUUACCUUGUGAAAUAAUGCUUUCUAUAUCACAAUUUACCAAUUGCUUAGUAUUUCAUAAUAUAAAUGGGCCAUUAUCUAACCUUCCUUAAGUUUGUACACAUACUUCUACAUUUUUCAGUAUUAUAAGUAACGUUUUGAGGGGCAAGUUUGUAUACAUCCUGGUGCAUAUCUCUGAAAAUGUCCUAAGGUAAAUUUCUAGAUAUAUAACUGUCAGUACAAUGCAUGCACAUUUUAAAGGCUUUUGCUAAAUAUAGCCAAAAGUCCUUCUACAAAUUUUCUAAGAGUUCUGAUUCAAAGCAGUAACAGGCCUUGUCUCAUCAUGAACUUUGGCAUUUCAUCUACAGCUAAGUUUAUAUCAUAAAUAGUUCUUUACAGGCAGCACCAACUUAUACCCUUAUAGCAUACUUUACUGUGUGAAAAUUGCAUCUUUCAUUAAGCUUACUGUAAAUUUACUGGCUGUCUUCCUUGCAGGUUUCCACCAACAUUAGAGAAAAGAAAAUUUUAAAAUAAUUAAUCUCCUGAAGUAACUUUUGAUGAGAUGUAACAUGAAAGCUAAAAACCUGAAGCAGGAGAAUGCUAUUUUCUCAUGUGAUACCUUAUUCUAGCCAUCUGUUGAACAAAUAUCUGGUUCCAAAUAAUGUAAAAACCGAUAGCAAAUCUUAAUAACUUUUACUUGUGGAUAUUAGAAAGAACAACAGUGCUAUUUGUGUAGUUAUCUUAUGGCAGUUGAAAUACUCUAUAUGAAUACACAGUUUGUUUUUUUUUUGUUGUUGUUUGUUUGUUUUUAGGUCUUUAACUUCUCAGCACCAGUUUUAUGGAGCCCCCACCGCUAAGCAAGUAUGCAAAAUGCAGUGCUGCUUCGCAUUGGGAAAUCCCCAAUCUGGUGCCAAGAGGUUCAUAAAUACAGUAAUGGACCCUCUUAUGUCAAAAGUGAGUACUGUUUAACAGCGUAAGUUGGAACAGCCUUCAGGAUGCUUUGCAGCUGCAGUUGUUCCACUGCAAGACAUCACAAACUUCAUGAUGAUGGUUGUCACACCAGGUCCUGGAAAGGCAACCUACUUCAGUCUGCAAAGUGAACUAAAAGGGAAUGGUUGUUCAUACAUGGCCCUGAUGCCACUGACAUAAGAAACGCAAUGACAAGAGCGAUGAAGUAGGAAUUUGGUGGCAGAUGGUCAGGUCUGCAGGAAGUGUCCACCCAGCUUUGUUUGGCCCAUAUUCUGAAACAACUAGAAUAAACACUUAGUGUCAUAAUUUAUAAGCAUAUCAGUACCAAUAAAUCAGAAUCAUGCAAACA